CCGCCCCCCGCCUUCCCGCGCCGCCUUCCCGACACGCACCGCGCCGCUCCCCGGCGGCUAGAGGGGCCCGGGCGGCGCGCGACUGCGCCGGAGGACCGGCCUGGAGCGCCCUCGCCGGGCGCGGCGGCCUCACCGGCCGGGCCGCUCCGAUCUCCGCAGCCCUGGGCUCCGGGGCGCAGGGGCGGUUCUCGGCGGACCCCUGGGGGAACCCGUAGGGAAACCGAGGCCCCCAAGCGCAGAGACCAGGCGCCCCUUUCUCUCCCUCGGCAGCUGGAGGCACAGCUGUGCUGUGUCCUUGCCCUGAGGGCUCCCCGGGCGCCCUGCUCGCGGACGAAUUUCCUCAGUUCGGGGGACUUUUACGAGCAGCUGCUCCGGUUCGGUCUGUGAUUCCCAGAGGUCGCCACGCCGCACCCAGGUUGUGGGGGACCCGCCUUCCUUGAGCGAGUCAUUCAUCCAGUUACGGACCCGCCAGGCCCUCUGCAAUGAGAGCAAACCCAGAGGCCUGCUUUCAUGAACUUGAUCAUCUGCGGAGGGAGCCAUUGGUGAAACACCUAACCGUUCAAGUGAAAAUGUCCAGCGUUGACAGAUUUUAAUAAGGAAGAGGUCCAGAGUGCUAGGCGCCUAAACAAGCAAGGAACCUGCUCCAGACCUGGGGGGCCAAGGAUAUGAUGCUGAUGCUGGGAGCUGAGCAGGCGUUAACCACACACAGGGGAGAAGGCCAUGGCAAGAGAGAGCCUGGCCUGGCGAGAGAACAGCAAGAGCUGUGUGCCAAGGCCCGAGAGUGGAGGACAGUGGAGGACAGUGGAGGAGGUGAGGCCACGGACAUCCGCAAGGACCGCAGGCCGCGGGAGAGACUGUGGGCCAGAUCCUAAGAGGAAUGGGGAGCCACUGAAGGAUUUUAACCCAAACAGGGACACCUGUGUUUCCAAAAGAUGUUGGAAGGAGCCAGAAUGUAUGUGUCCAGAGGAGAUGAGCAGGCUAUGGAGCAUUUUCAAAAAUCACGGGAAUAAUUUGUUCUUUAAAGUCUAGGAAUCUCACCUCCUCACCUUGGCUAUGAGGUCUUCUGAGGCAAGAAUGAUGCCUGUUCUUUCUUGGGCAUGUCCUCCCAGCCUGGCCAGCCAGAGGCCUGGACACCUAAGAGCUGCUGGCCUUUCCUUGAACUCUGAGGGCUUCUGUGGAACAGAGAGAGGGGCUCUCUACAUAGAUUCCUGGAAGUCGACUGAAUGCUCUCAUCUCCCCCUUCAACUUGGGGAACUUCAGGGCUCACUUUCACCCACGGGCAGCGUACUAGUAUCUAUUCUUGUACAAAGGGCAGUUCCCUCUUCAGGAAACACCGAGGACCAGCUCUUAGCACUGUUCUAUACCCCACUGCACGGCUAUGGACCUCACAGACAUCACCGUCUCCCUGGAACAUCCUCACCCUCCAUCUCACCUGAACUGCGUCUAUGUGCAGGUCCAUCGAUGGCCUUCUCAAGAAACUCCCUAACUGUACCACCACAGCUCCCAAGAUGGCUUGUUUUACCUUGACUACCUUCAUAUGCUUACGGAAUUAUCUUCCUAAAUGGUCCUAAGUCCCUUGAAGACAAAUCUGCCCUAAGAUAGAGCCUUGUUUGUGUAGGGCUUGUUAAAUGUGUGCUAUUCUAUAUAUAAAAGCCUAAUAUGCAAAUUGUCCCCUUGGGCUGUUGUUCGACCAGGAGUUUGACUGGGAGAAUGGGGAGUUUGACCACUUGCUAUGACGUGUGCUGACCAUCAGGGGUGGUACGGAACAUGGCAGGUGUCAGCGACAGUGGAGGUGCUGUGGGCCCCGAUAGGCCCUGAUGAGAACGAGACCACGGCGGGAUGGUGGAGCAGAGGAGGCCACCUAAUGCCAUUGACCAUAUGUGAGAGGAUAAGGACUGGAUUCCAGAAACAGAGGAGACAGAAGAAAGUGUGAGCAAAUCACACCUGCAUCUGUGCAGUCUUCCCAGAUUUCAUGUUUUCCCUUCAGGAUUCCACCCCCCAGAUGUCUACAGGCACUCCGAUGCUAAGGGCAAGUGAUCCAGUUUUCCUAACACUCUAAAACGGUGACAUUUCAAGUGUGAUUUGUGACCAGCAGCAUCAGCAGCACCUGAGAGCUUAUUAGAAAUGCAGAUUCUCAUGCCCGACUCCGGACCUAAUGAAUCAGAGUCUGUACUUGAAUCAGAUCCCAGGUAACUGUGUGCAUGUUAACACUGGACAAGUACGACCUGAAGCAGCUAGUGAUUAAACAUAGGACUUCUCACUUGGCUGCUAAGAUGUGGCAAACUACAUUUGGGGCUUCUACCUACCUUGAUGACUCAAAUUAUUGAGUCAGAUAUUUUCUGUAUCCCCAGCCCUUGAAUACUGUCUAGAACAAGCAUGUCAAACUCGAAGGCUAACAUGGGCCAAAUAAACAAGGUUUAAGUUUAUGUGGGCUGCCAAAA